GAUGAACGCUAGCGGCAGGCUUAACACAUGCAAGUCGUGGGGCAGCGCGAGGUAGCAAUACUUUGGCGGCGACCGGCAAACGGGUGCGGAACACGUACGCAACCUUCCUCAGAGCGGGGAAUAGCCUCUCGAAAGAGAGAUUAAUACCCCAUAGUAUCUCGGAUUCACAUGGAUCUGAGAUUAAAGCUCCGGCACUUUGAGAUGGGCGUGCGGCUGAUUAGGUAGUUGGUAGGGUAACGGCCUACCAAGCCAACGAUCAGUAGCUGAUGUGAGAGCAUGAUCAGCCACACGGGCACUGAGACAGGGCCCGACUCUACGGGAGGCAGCAGUGAGGAAUAUUGGU
rnacentral:rRNA from 1 species